rnacentral:rRNA from 1 species
AGCGACGUUCAACCGCAAAAGAAGCAGAGGGGGCUUAGUGGUGGGGUGACUGCGUACCUUUUGUAUAAUGGGUCAGCGACUUAUAUUCUGUAGCAAGGUUAACCGAAUAGGGGAGCCGGAGGGAAACCGAGUCUUAACCGGGCGUUAAGUUGCAGGGUAUAGACCCGAAACCCGGUGAUCUAGCCAUGGGCAGGUUGAAGGUUGGGUAACACUAACUGGAGGACCGAACCGACUAAUGUUGAAAAAUUAGCGGAUGACCUGUGGCUGGGGGUGAAAGGCCAAUCAAACCGGGAGAUAGCUGGUUCUCCCCGAAAGCUAUUUAGGUAGCGCCUCGUGAAUUCAUCUCCGGGGGUAGAGCACUGUUUCGGCUAGGGGGCCAUCCCGGCUUACCAACCCGAUGCAAACUGCGAAUACCGGAGAAUGUUAUCACGGGAGACACACGGCGGGUGCUAACGUCCGUCGUGAAGAGGGAAACAACCCAGACCGCCAGCUAAGGUCCCAAAGUCAUGGUUAAGUGGGAAACGAUGUGGGAAGGCCCAGACAGCCAGGAUGUUGGCUUAGAAGCAGCCAUCAUUUAAAGAAAGCGUAAUAGCUCACUGGUCGAGUCGGCCUGCGCGGAAGAUGUAACGGGGCUAAACCAUGCACCGAAGCUGCGGCAGCGAACGUAUCACUUAAAGCGAUUCAGCGGGUUACGAUUGACGGAGCGAAGCGACGUCAAAGCGUAUACAAAGUCGAGUCGGUUUAAGGAUACGUUCGUUGGGUAGGGGAGCGUUCUGU